CAAAAACAUCGCCUCUUGAAUUAAAAAUAAGAGGUCCAGCCUGCCCAGUGACCAAUGUUCAACGGCCGCGGUAUCCUAACCGUGCGAAGGUAGCGUAAUCACUUGUUCUUUAAAUGUGGACUAGUAUGAACGGCAUCACGAGGGUUAUACUGUCUCCUUUCUCUAAUCAGUGAAACUAAUCUCCCCGUGAAGAAGCGAGGAUGAAACUAUAAGACGAGAAGACCCUAUGGAGCUUUAAAGUUCUUUUUCAAACGCCAAACCUCUUCCAAGUCACAGACUCCUGCACGAAACCACGCGCCAUGAAGACAACUUUUAGGUUGGGGUGACCAUGGAGUAUAAAACAACCUCCACGCUGAACAGGCCUCUAAACCUUGAGCCAAGGACCACAGCCCGCCGCACUAAAAAAUUAACACACAUUGAUCCAAUGAAUUUUGAUCAACGAACCAAGUUACCCUAGGGAUAACAGCGCAAUCUACUUCAAGAGUUCCUAUCGACAAGUGGGUUUACGACCUCGAUGUUGGAUCAGGGUGUCCCAGUGGUGCAGCCGCUACUAAUGGUUCGUUUGUUCAACGAUUAAAACCCU
rnacentral:rRNA from 1 species